rnacentral:sRNA from 1 species
UACUGUUUCCAAACUGGACACUGGAGAAUAUUCCUGUGAAGCUCGCAAUUCUGUUGGAUAUCGCAGGUGUCCUGGGAAACGAAUGCAAGUAGAUGAUCUCAACAUAAGUGGCAUCAUAGCAGCCGUAGUAGUUGUGGCCUUAGUGAUUUCCGUUUGUGGCCUUGGUGUAUGCUAUGCUCAGAGGAAAGGCUACUUUUCAAAAGAAACCUCCUUCCAGUAAGUAUACUUUCCUACAAUGCAUGUCUUUCUCCUAUGUCAACUAAUUUUCUAUUAAUCAUCUGUUUAACGUCAAAAGAGAGAAGUUGGGUUAUUUGUGUAGGUUUACUCUCCCAAGAAGUUACUCAAGUUUAUCAAGAAAUACAUCUGUAUUAGGCUGCUCUUGCAUUGCUAUAAGAAAAUACCCAAGACUGGGUAGUUUAUUUUAAAAAGAGGUUUAAUUGGCUCACGGUUCUGCAAGCUGUACAAUCCUGGCACCAACACUGCUUGGCUUUUGGGGAGGCCUCAGGAAGCUUUUACUCAUGGCUGAAGGCAAAGCGGGAGCAGGCACCUCACAUGGCAACAGCCGGAGCAAGGUUGGGGAGGUGCCACAUACUUUUAAACAACCAGACCUCAAGAAAACUCAGUCACUAUUCUGAGGACAGCAUCAAGGGGGCGGUACUAAACCAUUCAUGAGAAAUCCGCCCCCAUGAUCUAAUCAGCUCCGACAAGCCCCACCUCCAACACUGGGGAUUACAAUUCAACAUAAGAUUUGGGCGAGGCAAAUAUCCAGACUCUAUCAACAUCCCACUUCACACUUCAUACCUACUUGUAAAUGAUAGUACAGAGAGAAUGAUGAUUACCCAGACAAGAAAUAUGGUCACUAAUUUGAUUUCAUAGGCAUUUGUAUAAACUAACUUAAAAAA